GGGUCAGGUCACCUUAUUGAACCAUUAGCAUGAAUCUGUCCAGGUACCCCUGACCAAAGACACCCAGCCUCCCCAGGCAAUGACAGACCUGAUUGGAAUCCCAGGUCUGCCCUUUCCUGUCUGUGUGGCCUUGGGCAAGUUUAGUUCCCCUCUUGUUGGCUCAGUUUCCUUCUCUGUAUCUGGGGAUGCUAAUCCCUAACUCAUCAGGUUAUGUGAGGGUUCAAUGAGAUGCCUCUUUUGCAUACACUUAUUGCUGUUUCUGGCACACAGUAGGCACUCAGUGGUAGCUCCCUCCCUCCUUCCGUAGAGCCCAGCUCCUCUCAGGACCCAGCUAAAGCAAAUCUACUUGUUUUGCAGCUGAAGACAUGACAACCAAAGACCAGGAAGUACUUCCAGAUGUCAAGGCAGACUGGAUUUGAGGCACAGGAUGAGGACUAUGGGUUGGCCUGUUUGUCUUUCUUGGAGGCUGGAGGCCAGCACCAGAAAAAUGACGAACCCCUAGCUUGGCUCCUGACCCAUUUGGCAUCUGCAGCAGGAAGGAUGGAAGUUAGACAAGCAGGACUUCCUGCAGGUGGAGAGGGCCAGUCCACCUUUUCCAGGAUACCCCUCCAGGAUCCCUGACAUCCAGAGCAGUGAGGGCAACGAAGCAUGGCGGUGGCUGGCCCAGCGGGAGGCAGGCUGAGGCCAGGCGGCUGAGGCCCCGGUUGUUCCCCUCCUCAACCCACCAUCCUCUCCCGAGCUGCCCCACUGAGGGCUGUGCUGCCUCCCGACUGGGCCACUGGUGGUUGUUACUGUUAACAAAAAUACAAAUUAAUUGGUAAUAAAAUAAUUAUUUAAAAAGGCC